AACUAUGCUGAUAUACCUGCUGAGUUGAGUCAGACAUAUUCUGAAGUAUGUCAUUUCAUUAAUUUAGUGACUAGAAGAUGGUCUAAACCUUUGGCUCACUCCUUAAAUAUGUAUAUUUUGAAUCCAUCCCACCUGGUGCAAAAACAAAUGCCUACUUGUUUGAGACUGAU